GAGGUGGUUCACUGUAGUAAUGACAUGUUGUCUAGAGAGGUGGUUCACUGUAGUAAUGACAUGUUGUCAGAGAGGUGGUUCACUGUAGUAAUGACAUGUUGUCAGAGAGGUGGUUCACUGUAGUAAUGACAUGUUGUCUAGAGAGGUGGUUCACUGUAGUAAUGACGUGUUGUCUAGAGAGGUGGUUCACUGUAGUAAUGACAUGUUGUCUAGAGAGGUGGUUCACUGUAGUAAUGACAUGUUGUCUAGAGAGGUGGUUCACUGUAGUAAUGACAUGUUGUCUAGAGAGGUGGUUCACUGUAGUAAUGACAUGUUGUCUAGAGAGGUGGUUCACUGUAGUAAUGACAUGUUGUCUAGAGAGGUGGUUCACUGUAGUAAUGCCGUGUUGUCAGAGAGGUGGUUCACUGUAGUAAUGACAUGUUGUCUAGAGAGGUGGUUCACUGUAGUAAUGACAUGUUGUCAGAGAGGUGGUUCACUGUAGUAAUGACAUGUUGUCUAGAGAGGUGGUUCACUGUAGUAAUGACGUGUUGUCAGAGAGGUGGUUCACUGUAGUAAUGACGUGUUGUCUAGAGAGGUGGUUCGCUGUAGUAAUGACAUGUUGUCAGAGAGGUGGUUCGCUGUAGUAAUGACAUGUUGUCUAGAGAGGUGGUUCACUGUAGUAAUGACAUGGUGUCAGAGAGGUGGUUCGCUGUAGUAAUGACGUGUUGUCUAGAGAGGUGGUUCACUGUAGUAAUGACAUGUUGUCUAGAGAGGUGGUUCACUGUAGUAAUGACAUGUUGUCUAGAGAGGUGGUUCACUGUAGUAAUGACGUGUUGUCUAGAGAGGUGGUUCACUGUAGUAAUGACGUGUUGUCUAGAGAGGUGGUUCACUGUAGUAAUGCCGUGUUGUCUAGAGAGGUGGUUCACUGUAGUAAUGACAUGUUGUCAGAGAGGUGGUUCACUGUAGUAAUGACAUGUUGUCUAGAGAGGUGGUUCACUGUAGUAAUGACAUGUUGUCAGAGAGGUGGUUCACUGUAGUAAUGACGUGUUGUCUAGAGAGGUGGUUCACUGUAGUAAUGACAUGUUGUCUAGAGAGGUGGUUCACUGUAGUAAUGACAUGUUGUCUAGAGAGGUGGUUCACUGUAGUAAUGACAUGUUGUCUAGAGAGGUGGUUCACUGUAGUAAUGACAUGUUGUCAGAGAGGUGGUUCACUGUAGUAAUGCCAUGUUGUCUAGAGAGGUGGUUCACUGUAGUAAUGCCAUGUUGUCUAGAGAGGUGGUUCACUGUAGUAAUGACAUGUUGUCUAGAGAGGUGGUUCACUGUAGUAAUGACAUGUUGUCAGAGAGGUGGUUCACUGUAGUAAUGACAUGUUGUCUAGAGAGGUGGUUCACUGUAGUAAUGACAUGUUGUCAGAGAGGUGGUUCACUGUAGUAAUGACAUGUUGUCUAGAGAGGUGGUUCACUGUAGUAAUGACAUGUUGUCUAGAGAGGUGGUUCACUGUAGUACUGACAUGUUGUCUAGAGAGGUGGUUCACUGUAGUAAUGACCUGUUGUCUAGAGAGGUGGUUCACUGUAGUAAUGACCUGUUGUCUAGAGAGGUGGUUCACUGUAGUAAUGACAUGUUGUCUAGAGAGGUGGUUCACUGUAGUAAUGACCUGUUGUCUAGAGAGGUGGUUCACUGUAGUAAUGACAUGUUGUCUAGAGAGGUGGUUCACUGUAGUAAUGACAUGUUGUCUAGAGAGGUGGUUCACUGUAGUAAUGACAUGUUGUCUAGAGAGGUGGUUCACUGUAGUAAUGACAUGUUGU